UUUUCUGAGAGAACGAUACAUGACUGGAGCUUGAGCCCUACCAGCGUGACAGAAUGUACUGUGCACGUAAAGAUCGAGAACAGACAGAACAGCAGUCGAAGAAGUCGCAGAAAAGCUGCACGGAUGGCUCGAGUCAGGGACCACUUUGCUCAAAGAGAUGGAGGAGCGAGUGACACUGAAAGAGAAGAGUCACCUCCAGAAAUAAAACAGGCAGCUCAAAAAGAAACCCCAAAGGAAAAACAAAUAGAUGUUCAGUCAUUUUCUGAUGGGAAGAGCACUACAGAAGGUUCUCAGUUUGUUUCUGAAUCUGUGGAAAUGUGCAGCGAACCUCUCCUCAAUGUUUUACGUGAUACGUCACCAGCACAUGACAGCAUGUCUAACACUGAGUCAGAGGAAUCUGAGAGCAUCACUGUGGCUGACUCAGCCACAUUUAAAGGAGGUGAGAGUGUCACAGAUAUCCCAGACAGCCCGCUGCAUUCAACUGAUGAGUCUGGUCCUGCAGAACAGCAAAAUAUCAAUGACGUUAUCAUCAAAGCUGAGGAAAGCAGUCAGAACCAAGGCACAAGUUAUGAAUCUACCAGCAACACAGCAACAGUGAGCAGUGAAAACCUGGUUAGCCAGACCAACAGCUUCACAUUUGGAACUGUGGUGGCUCCACUGUAUCAUCAGGUGUUUGGCAGAGUGGGAAGUGAAAGUCAGAGCACAGGUGACGGGGGAAAUCCUAUACAGGCUACUCUGAAUACUGCAGACCUAAAUGCGCACACCAAAAUAAGACAGAUUAGCUGUAUUGAUUCAACAGAUGCUACAAGUAAAGAUGACAACGUUCAAGUAAAUUUGAUAAAUAAUCAGGAAUCCAGCCAUGAAUGCUUAAAUGCCACGCUAAUUUGUCCUCCUACUGAAGAACAAGAAACAAGUUUUAAUGUGUCAGCAAAUGAAGUCCUGGACUGUGCAGAAACUACACAAGAUCCAACUGGGAUAGAAAAUACAGACCACAGUACAAAUGCCUCUGAAAAUUCAACACCUCUUCUAGGGGACACAUUAGGACAUCCUGAGAGGGUAAACAUGUUAAAUAAAGAUUUGUUGAAUCCACAAAUACACACUGAGAGUUUACAUCUCCAGGGAGAAGAACAGGAAGACAAACUAACCCCUGACCUCCAAAGCCAAAUCACAGGAGAAACACCACAGAGUCAGCUGCCAGAGCCCACUUGUAAACAAAUUGAAACUAAUCUUGCUGAAACACUUGCAGAAAGUGAAACACAAGAAGUCAAGAUCAGUCUACAGUCAUCGUUUAUAUUACUUCAACCUUCUCAGAGUGACCAUGUCGUUAAAGAGACAGAGCAACAGACCAGCAGAAGAGGAGAGGAGGAGUGUGUGGAGCUAAACAGUGACCACAAAAAUGGACAGACUGAGACUAUAUCAAAAACCAACACAUCUCCAAAGGCGGAUAAACUAUUGGAAGCGUUACAUGAUGUGAAUUCGAACCACAUUGAUAAUUCAGUUAAAAAAGAACCUGAGGAUAUUGUUGUGCCUUGCCGUGAACUUGAGAAAAGGGAUUUCACAACACUGGAGACAUCUCUGGAAACUCAGGAUAAAACUAAUAACAUGGAAAAAGCUAAUAAAGGGACGUACAGGUUACAUAAAGGUGAAACAGAACAGCCCACUGACAAGGUAAUUGGUGUGGUAGCUGAAUCCAUGACAAAAGCAACGAUAAAUGAGUAUGACAGACAUGGUGACAUGUUGGUGGGACUCAAAGAUGAAGAAUCUUUGGAAGACAUAGAGCAUUGUGAAACAGAAGCUGCUGUUCCAAAACAGGAUGUGGCUUCUUGUUUGACAGUCAUUACUGAGGCCAAAAACUGGGAAAUGAUGGUUGAAGAGGAGGAAAAUAGCAUAUUAACAAAUCAGGAGGAGUAUGAGCCAAUUAAUUUAAAAACAGGCACUGAAGUAAUCGAGAGAGACACUACAGAGGAGAAAAAGAGGAAUUUAUGGAGGAGAUCAUAGCUGCAGGAGUGCAAAAGUACAAAGCUGAUAAUGCCGUGAGGUUAGAGGACGAGGAAUGGAUAAGAAAGGAAGAAAUUGCUGAGACUGUGACUGGAUUAGUUCAUGUUCAAGUCACAGAGAUGGAAAAGAAGCUUGAAGAGGAAGAACGAGCUGAUGAAGAGAGAACAGAGGGACCAAAGGAGACAGAGGUGCAGAAGGAAAAAUACUUUGCAGAGAUGCAUGAGAUCAAUAUCGAAAGUGCAAAUGUGAAAGAAGAAAAGGAAUUAGAGGAAAAGGAAAAAAUUCAAACAUACUUGAUUGAUGAAGUUGAAGCAGGUGUGGAGUUGGAGGAUGAGAUAAAACCAAAGGAGGAAAACAGAGAGGAGAAUCCAGAGUUCAAGGAGGAGGAUGUUGUUGAUCUAGCAGUGGAAAUUGAAGAUGCAGAGUCGUGCAUGGUAACAGAGGACAAACAAGAUGAAGUGUUGUGGUCAGAGGAAAGGUUAGACGUUGCACAAAAUGAGGCUGAAGUGGAUUUAUCUGCUCUGCUGAACAACAAGCAGGAGGGUGUCAAUGAGAAAGAAACUGACAAAGAAAAUACAGAAGACGGGCAAAAUCUACACUUCAACACUGAAAUCCGUCUUUGCAAGGAGGACGAUUUUCAAAGCAACACAACUAUUACACAUGACCGAUCAAAAGCUGAGGAGGAAUGCUUCACUGCAGAGGCAGCUGAGAGCAUUUUAGCGGAUGAACCUGAAAUCGACCAAACAAGUCACGACAGUGCUUCAUCAGAGUCAGACUCAGACGAUGAGGUGGAGCUGUACAUGCACUGUCUGAGGGCUGUUCACACAGGAGCACAGGCCCAUAAGGACCGCAACAAAGAUGUAGGUUUUACUGUGAGCAAAAGGCCUUCUGUUAGCCGAGGCAAACUGCUGUCCAUGCCGUCCAUCAGUGAAUCUCUGGAUGAAGAACAGCACCUCAGCCACCUUCAGGAGAAUCAUGAUGACGGGGAGACAGCAUCCAUCACCGCUCUGUCAGCAUCCAGUGGACAGGAAAGUGUCAACAGAAAUGUUUCAUGGUGGAAAGAUACUUUUUCCUGCAGCAAUAUCUCAAAAACAUUGUUAUACACCACCUUGUUAGUGGUAUUUUUAGUUGUGGCAUACCGUUAUGAUUUUCUUGCCUGCUUUGGCCUCUACUUGAUAUCUGUGGUUUGGCUCUGCUGUCAAGGAGACAGGCAAACAGUUAAAAACGACAAAAUAGGCUGAAUUAAAUUGAAAAAACCUGUCUCGAUAGAGAUUAUGUUGAAAAUGGAUUUCUGAGGUGUAGAAGGUGUAGAGUGAGGAAGGUAGAUUGGUGUUUUUUCUACAUGCAAUCAUAACUUUUGAUGUUUUCCUAAUUCUUAAUGACAGAAAACUUAACAAGAUCAUACAAUAGUUUUUACGGGCAUUAAUUUUGACUCAUAUCAGUAUACUUCAGUAUAUUCCCUAUGGGAGGAUGGUAACUCUCUGUUGUCAGAGUAUGAACCAAUUUCCUUUAUGCUUUCCUGUAUAUAAAACUUGUUUCACUUCAGCCAACAGGCUGUCAAACAUUGCUCACACUGAUCAGUUCUACAGAGCGCUAAUCCUUUAUGAGGUGUAAAUAACACUUACCGGUGUGCUGUGUGUAUGGCUGCUGCCAUAGUAUUUGUGUACAACACAUUUAGUGCUCAUUACAAUAAAAAUAAUGAAUUAUACAACACAAAAAAAUGUAGUGGUCUGUUUUGAUUCUACUGUUUACUAAUAGUAGUAUAGUAUAUAUAUUAUAGUAGUAUGGUAUAACAACAGCAGUCAGCUCACAGAAAAAAAAUAAUGGAGCAGAUUAUGACAAUGUAUUGCAUAUAUUACAAGACAUAAAAAAGUAUUCAGACUUCCUAGA
ensembl:lncRNA